AACGAACGCUGGCGGCAUGCCUAACACAUGCAAGUCGAACGGUGUCUUCGGACAUAGUGGCGCACGGGUGCGUAACACGUAUGCAACCUACCUUACAUUGGGGGAUAGCCUUUCGAAAGGGAGAUUAAUACCGCAUAAGACAGUAGCUGGGCAUCCAGCAGCUGUUAAAGAUUUAUCGAUGUAUGCUGGGCAUGCGUCCAAUUAGCUAGUUGGUGAGGUAACGGCUCACCAAGGCAAUGAUUGGUAGGGGAACUGAGAGGUCAAUCCCCCACACUGGCACUGAGAUACGGGCCAGACUCCUACGGGAGGCAGCAGUAGGGAAUAUUGGGCAAUGGACGCAAGUCUGACCCAGCCAUGCCGCGUGCAGGAUGAAGGCGUUAUGCGUUGUAAACUGCUUUUAUACAGGAAGAAACGACUCUUGCGAGAGGCAUUGACGGUACUGUAUGAAUAAGCACCGGCUAACUCCGUGCCAGCAGCCGCCGUAACAC
rnacentral:rRNA from 1 species